AAAAUAAUUGGACGGAUAAGGAAGGAGAGGGAAUAUGUAGCUGCAGGCAAGUCAAGCGUGGGAUUUUUCAGUUACUCUGACCCUUCCUUCUCUCAAUAACGCUCAGAAAAUCAAUUGUACACCAUUAGUCCUCUCAUUCUUCAGUUCAUCUUAAACCGUAUCUUAUUAUCUUAAACCUUCAGUAAAACUCAGAAAACACAGAGAGGAAGAGAGAGUAAAAUGGGUUUCUGUGAAAUUUGAAAGGAAAGCUUCGGGAGAACUCAAGGAAUGAAAAGGGGGGAUUUUAGCAAGUUUAUCUAGCAGUUAAGGGAAUCUAAGAGGUAAGAAAGGAACUCUGAAAUUCAUAAUUUCUAUUUCGUAAGUAUUGCACUGUUAGAAAUUGUUUUGGUCUGUCUAGAAAGUUAUUAUGGUUGUGAUUUUAGUUUAAAAUCUUGAUUUGAUAGUAGUACGAAAAAUUUUCGAAUUUGAAUGAAUCAAAAUGGACUUAAAACGAAUCCUUGGAAGAUUAAGUAAAACAUGUAAAAAUAUGAAAAUAUGAUAAUCUAGCAUUGUGACAACCUGAAAAAUUAUAAGAUCUUGAACGAUUAAAUUAAAGGUUGUCUAAAACCUAGAGUGAAAAUAGAGAAUUUAUUAAAAUUUUAAAGAAGAACCUAAAUGGUUUACUAUGUGAAAGACAAUUGAGAAAAUAUGGAUUACAAAAUUCAAAAUCCUGGAAUGGAAUUAUAAGUAUUAUGUUACCUUUAACUUUAUAUGAAUUAAUGAAAGAGAUUAUGAAAUGAUAUAUAUGGAAAAGGUUUAAAACGGGAAUACAGUUUAAUACAGUUUCAAUUCAACUUGCUGAAUUAGUGAAUUUAUCUUUGCUGAAUUGGAAUUCGGUUUACUGAAUUAGUAUACACUUUGAAUCCAGGUUGCUGGAUUGGAGGUCAGUUUGAAUCCAGUUUGCUGAAUUGGAAAAACAGUUUACUGAAUUGAAAUUCAGUUUGAAUCUAGGUUGCUGGAUUAGUUAUGUCAGUUUCGUUGUGUUGGGAAACAACAAGUUGUUUGAAUAAUCUAGGAUGUUGGAUUAGGUAUUCGGCUUACUUGAUUAUAUAUAAGAACUUAUGAGAUGAUAGGUUAAGUGUUAGAUCAUAAUGUGUACAAUAAAGAGAAAUAAUAAGGAUAAAGAGGAUGAGUGUAUAUAUAUAUAUAUAUAUAUAUAUAUAUAUAUAUAUAUAUAUAUAUAUAUAAGCAUAUAUAUACAUAUACUUAAAAAUGUUAAUUAAAUUGAUCAUACAAGAUUAAUGGAAAGCUUAAUUAAUCAAGCUUAUAGAAGCUAAGCAUGAAUGGUAGUGUAAGAGAACUUAAAAAUAUUAAAUUGGGAAGAGAUAAGUUAGGUGUUGUGGUGAUAAUUAAAAUAAACAUAACCUAGUGGGAAAGUAUUAUAAAUUUAAUAAAAAGUCCCAGAAAAGGAUUAAAAUUAUGACAAGACAGACUUAUAUUUAUGCCAAGCCUAAUAUAUGAAAAUAUUAAUUAUUUACCAACGAAGUGAAUAAUUGUGACUUAUGUGAGGUAUGUAUGUGAUUAAAUAAAUAUAUAUUGUAAAUCUGCAUAUAUUUAUUUAUAAUUAUUUAGAGAGGAUUGAAAAGAAAACUAUUUAGCCUAAUAUUAUAUAUUAGGAAUGAGAAUUAAAUAAUUUAAUGGUUAUAGUAAUUGAAGAAUGCUAAUAUUUAAAUUAUGUACUAGUAAAUCAAUGAAAUGAAUAAUAAUCAAUAGAUGAUUAGUUGAUAUGAUUAAUAAUAUAAAGAGAAGUAAGUUAAAACUCAAAAUUUGAGUUAGGGAAAUAAUUUUGAAGCACGAACUGCUCGGUUGCGUCCAGAACGUCAAAAAUAGUCAGAAAAGGUGGUAAACACAAAAUGUGUCAAGGUUGACUUUUUGGUCAAAGUCAAUAGUUGACUUUUUAGGGAGAAAAAUCCAAAUUGGAGAUAGAAGUGGAAUUUGAACACGCGGACAAGAUAAUUGAGUCUGUAACGUCAAAAUUAGUAAGAAUAGACUCUAAACACGAAAUGUGUCGGGGUUGACUUUUUGGUCAAGGUCAACAGUUGAAUUUUUUGAAGAAAAGUCAAACUUGAAAUUUGGAGAUGAAUUUAAAGAAAAGGAGGUGCCCAUGACGUUGGGAGUAUUGAAUUUAGUAGGAAUCGACUAUAAACUCAAAAAUUUGAGUUUUCCGGUUCGAAAGUUAAAACGAAAUUAAAUACGCAAAACGAGUAAAUAAAAGCGGGGCACACAACAUAAAAUCUGCUGAGAUUUUUAUCUAUGUGUUGUCCACCUAACCCACCCACUCCCAACCACUCCCAUUAAUGCUCACCAAUUCCUUCUCUCUCUCCUAAAUUAUUUAGUUAAAGGAAAGAAAGAGAAUGAAGUUAAAACAACUGUCUCUCUCUCUCUCUCUCAUUUAUUCACUUCAUGCCCGAACCAAUAGAGAGGAAGAGAGAGAAAGUGGCUGCCAUGAAAGAGAAGAAAAGAGAGAAAGAUGGGAGGAGAAUAAGAAAAAGAAAUUAAGAGGAGAAGAUAUCAAAAGGUAUAAACCUUAAACUUUGUUUAAUUUAUUUUGGUGGAUUAUGAUGAAAUAAAGAUAUUGUAAGACCCCAGCUUUUUAUAAAUAAAAAAAAUCGAAUUUCCUCUAUUUAUUAUUGUAAAUAAUAAGGUGUUAAUUUGAUAUAAUACUUUGGUUAUGGGUGAAAUGCGCAAAUUUUGCAAAAUAAGUAUAAAAUAUUCAUUGUUGUCGGGGAAUAUUCGUUUGGUCGUGGAAUAUUCUUGCUGUCGAGAAAUAUUCGUACGACGGCGCAACCAUUUGUGGGCCCCAUAACGGAAAUCUGUCGGAUGAAGAAAACGACAAGUUUGAGUUUUUAUAAAUAACGGCGUAAUGGUUACCGUCAACACUGUUGGAAUACCCGGUGGUUAAAAUACAGUAAUACGUGUGGUUGCAUAGUAGCACACGGUAUUGCACAGUAUUUUUGAAUUAUUGAUUCUUACGUAAGAAGGCACUACUCAAUAAUUGUUAAAGUAAUUAUUGUUCAAUAUUUUAUUUUAUUGAUUCAAUAAUUGCUACGUUGAUAUUUUAUAUUAUUCUUGUUUCAAUAAUUGUCACUGCACAGUAUCUCCAUCAUCAGAUGAAUAAUUCAUAUUAUUUGAAUAAUAUUGUUAGAUAGCAUUAUUGGCAAUAUCUAAGGAAGUUCUGUCUAGGAAAGGGGUUUGGUCACCUAAUUACGUGCCAAUAAGGAGAAAUCCUUAUCGGAAAGCCCCCUCUUUUUUGGGAACGACCUGGUUGUCAUUAUUGUGAUUCUGUAAUAUUUUUUGUGAAUAAUUAAUUAUUGACUUAUAUGAUAAGGAAAUAUUUAUUUUUAUGUGGAUAUAAAUAAUGGAUAUUUAUUUUAUGUGGAUAUAAAUGAAGGAAUAAAUGCUGAGGUAUUUUAUCAGUAUUUUGUCAGAAUAGAGGUGUUGAAAAUCGUCCGUAUGUGAAUUUCGGUCAUUUUUCGUUUGGAAUUUGGAAAAACUUAAACUUACAAAGUUGUAGAGAAACUAGCACUAAUUUUUAUGCUCAAAGCUUUCUUAAACUCUAAAAAAAUACGCUCAAGAUUAUAGAAGGAGAAUUCUCUAAACUUCAAGUGUGAUUUUCAAUUCUAACUAAGCAUCCUAUUUAUAGAAGAAUAGAAAGGAUACUAUGCUGCACUAUGCAAUAAAAUAUAAUAUAUUCUAUUUAUAAUCAAAUAAAACAAAACUUUAUAAAAAGUAUUCUGUUUUAUAUAAAAAGUUUUUACCAUGCAAACACUAUGCAACACUAUGCAUAAUAAAAUAUAAUAUAUUCUAUUUAUANNNNNNNNNNNNNNNNNNNNNNNNNNNNNNNNNNNNNNNNNNNNNNNNNNNNNNNNNNNNNNNNNNNNNNNNNNNNNNNNNNNNNNNNNNNNNNNNNNNNNNNNNNNNNNACAAUAAUUGAAUCAAAUAACGUGAGAUACUAUGCAGCAAUUACUGUACCAAUAAUUGAACAAAACUGAGUGACUUAUCACGUAAGCAUCAAUAAUCAAUACCGUGUGCUACUAUGCAACCACACGUAUUACUGUACUUUUAACACCGGGUGUUUCAACAGUUAACGGUAAAACUUCCACCGUUCAUAAAGUAUUUUUGUCAUUUUUUCAAUCCGACAAUAAUUCCAUUGUGGGGUCCACCAAUGAUUGUGCCGUUGUACGAAUAUUUCCUGUUAAAACGAAUAUUCCCCGACCAAUCGAAUAUUAUAUAACAACUUACGUACUUUAAAAAAUUUAUAAAUAUUACCCACAACUAUAAUAUUAUAUCAAAUUCAUUCCAUAAUAUUCAAAAAUGAUAUUUAUAGAAAAUUCAUCUUUAUUUAUAAAAGUUGGGGUCUUACAUCUCUCUUGUUCUUGCUAUUUCUCCCGCCUUCUCUCUCUUGUUCUUCCUCUUUCUUUCUCUAAUUAAAAAAUCAUAAUAGGUGAAAUGAAAUGGAUGAUACUUAGGUUUUUGUUUAUAUAAAACCCAGUUUCAAUUUCUUAUAAGUUGGUCAUCCAAUUUAAGUCUUCUCUAGUCUUUCCCCUCGUCUUUAAAAGCUUGCAAAUCACCUCCUAACAUAUUCUUAGCAUAUUCUCGAAAUAUUCUUUAUUCAUUAACAUAUUCCUUAAGAUAUUUUCUUAAGUUUCAAAUAUUAUGUUUUCACCACCAAGGUGUUCCAACUUUUCAUUAUUGUCCAUUAACUUUCUAGUUCACUUCCAUACUUCAUUAAGUUAGCAAAAUUUCGCUUUUGCCUUCUCCUAAUUCAUUAAGCUAGCAAAAAGUCUGUUUUGCCCUUUCGUACAAUUAACUAGGGUUCAAUUUUCGAGUUAUAUCGGUCACCCGAUUUCUUUAUAGUUAGAUUUUCCUAACUCGUUCAACAUACAAAAACCUCAAAACUUCUUUCGUUGAUUUUUAUUACAUCUGCCAUCCUCAAAUAAUAACUACGACGUAAAUUUGAAAUUCUCAAAAAAUUUACUUUCUCUAAAUAUCUCCAUACUCUCAUACAUCAUUACUUAACACCAAACUAGGCCAUUAAUCGACCUAAAUAACAUUAAUAGUAAUAAUAUCAAUAAAAUUUAUUUAUUUAUUAGAUAUUAUCCUCGUAAAAUCUAAUUUCAAGGCUAUCCGAAAUCUCGGGUUAUCACAUGUUCCCCCAUUGCAGGGUUGGUUCGCCUCGGACUUGGUACACAUUUUCGCACCAAAAUAAUUUUGUUUGGCAUAAUUUCUCAAAGAUCGCUUGAAUUUCAUAAACAUUUUUCAGCAAUCGUCUAGUCGAAUCAAAUAGAUUUGACAUACAUCAAUAGUUCAGACAUCAAUCGAAACAUUUUAGCCAACUCACUGGCAUAAUUUUUCAUAGUUUAAAGAAAAUCAAAAAUCAUUUUAUGACGUCAUGAUACCGUACCAUUUUGACAGUACGUUGAGGAUUUCAUCAUUUUAUGACUUUGUCAUACUACAAAAUACCAUAGUGGGCUAACGGUCUUAUGAUCACAUCCAACACCAGGUUCGAUUGCAUUAAUGAAUCCAUCAUUUAUCAUUCUACACCAUGUUGAAUGAUGCAGAUGAUUAUAUAGAAUACAUUUUGAUAAUUUCAAAUCAUUUUCAUCUAGCCAAAAUAAUUAGCAUAUACAUAUGAAUAAUAGGACUUUUAACACUUAUUGGUUUAAUACUCUAAUCCAAUAUUUUUCAAAAACAUAACUAUCAGCAUGAUGUCAAUAAAUUUCGAAAUCUAGAAUAACUAGAGGAUUUGAAAUAUCCAUUUUACCUUCAACAACUUUGACUUUUAUCCAUCGGCCCAUUAUCUAAUAAUUCUAUCUAUUUCUAGCAGCAUUAAUGCUCACUAUACUAAAAAUUCUUACAUCUCAACUUACAACCUUCAUAUACCCCAGUAUAAUUCAUCAAACUUACCACACGUUAUGAGUUUAUGAUUGCUACAAUAAUAUAAGUUUAGGAACUUGUCCUAGCAAUAUGCAGUCCAAGAACAAAUUAGGGACUCUGUCCAUACACUUAGGGGCUCAAAAACAUAUCAUAUGAUCAUGAGUCACAAACCAUAAACAUGAGAUUCAAGAACUCGCACGUAAUCUUAAUAUUCUCUAACUAUCAGAUAUAAAUAUAUAUGAGAAAAGAAUCACAUUCUCACCAUAAAUAUACUGAUAGCGGAAUACUAAGAUUUCAAUGAUUAUCAAUGUAAUAGACUAAGUGGUCGUUAAACCAACCACAAAAUCCAUUCCCAUAUAAAGAUUUGCAUGAUUCCUCAAUUGAAAUUCCCCAAAAAACAAGUUUUUUCUUUCCUUUAUGCGAAUUUUCUUUAAUUUGUCUCUCAUCAUCUACAACUCUUUCUGAGUUUUCUCGUUCUAUCUCAUAGUACAUUCUCUUAAUAGCGUCAGGUUAUAACUGUUCAAUCAUUUAACAUAUUAUCUGUCAUUUCACAAUUCCAUCUGAUCACGUCGUGAUCUUAUUUUACAAUCGUUUUGCAUUACAAUCUUCCUUAGUCUACGAUCUUCUCACUUUUCCAUUCAAUCAUGUUAUAUUAUGAUUUCAUUUAAGCUUCUUAACUUAUAUUUAUCAUUAUAUCUUUGAAUUUCUAUAAUUCAAUUCAGGUGUUCCCUGAUCCUCUUCAUUUUACUUUAUUAUAGCUCUUCCAGAUUCUUCUUUGAAUCUUCUUAUAUAUAUCUUAAUCAUUUUCUUUAUAAAUCUUCUAAAUUUAUUUCUUAUUGUUCAAAGUAUGUCCGAGUUUAUUCUUUAUCAGAUGACUUAAACUCUAUCUCAGUUUAUUUUUGUACUAUCUCCGUCCAUUUCACUCUGGUUAUAUCCUAAGGUACCUCUUCUUAAGGUUUAUAAUAUACAACUCUGAUACCAACUGUAACGCCCCUAAAAUCAUGAUAAAUUUCAUUCAUGAUCUUGUGCGUUAAAAUACAAUCACGAUCUAACAUCUUUACAUUAUUAAUCGAUGUUAUAAUCAAUAAAAAAAAUGCGAAUAAAUUUAAUUUUAUUACUUUCUUUUAUAUCCUAAAUUUUUAUCACAAUUUAACUUUAUUUUUGUUGUACAUAAUAGUCUUUGUCCAUAUAGAUAUUAAAACUUAGUUAUUGCAAUGUUUACUCAAUUGCAGAAUUCGCAACCUUUAACACAUGUACAAAUAUUCAGAGUCGUAUGUAUUCCAUAAUAUGAUUUGUGAUAUCCCGAAUAUAUAUUAGUAAUAUUUCUUUUAAGGGAAAUAUUAAAAGAUUAAAUAAAGUCUAGAGAUUUAACCUAAUUAUUAAUAAAAAAAAAUGUGAAAAGAGUGGAUUAAUUUUUUUAUUUUAUCUAUGUGCUAUAAAGAGCCCAUAGGAUAUAAAAUUAUUGGGAAUAGAGACUUUUAAGAUAAAAGACUCUAAUUAAGAAUGUAUGAGACAUUAUAAAUAUUACUUAUUCAUAAUGAAAAUAAAGUAAUAUGUGGAGUUAAAUAAAUUUUGUGAGAUGUAGUAAGUAAAUGUAUUAUUAAAUGUAUACAUUUAUUAUUCAAAAUGAAAAGAGAAGCCAAUAAGGCCUAAUUGGGAAAUAUUCUUGACAUAAACCUACCUAUGAGAUUAAUAAAAUAAUUAUAUUAUGAUAUAAUUAAUUUCAUUCAAAAGAGUGUAUGUAGUAACAAAUACGGAAGAUGGUUUGCACUACCAUAAGUUAUUUAACUACAUGAAACCAUCAUUUUUAACGAUGUAUAUGCUAAUUAUUUUGCUAGCUUAAAUAAAUGUGAUGCAUAAAUAUUUAUAUGUAUUAGUGACCACAUUUAACUAUUGGGCCAUAUUAAAUUGGUAUUUAGUAUUCUUGCAAGCUGCUACAUUAAUCUUAGGGGCAAAGGUCUAAAAAUACCCGACCUUGAUGUUUACCCCGAUGUCCCACUUACACCCUGAACCUUUUUUUUUCAAAAGUACACUUGACGUUGUAAAACGUAACUCAAUUAUGCCCCUCCCGUUAAAAAAAUUUCAGCUAGACAAACGGGCGUUGGUGGCGACCGACACGUGGCAAACGGGCGUUAUUUUCUCUUUCUUCUCCAACUUUUCUCUCUUUCUUUCUUUCUCNNNNNNNNNNNNNNNNNNNNNNNNNNNNNNNNNNNNNNNNNNNNNNNNNNNNNNNNNNNNNNNNNNNNNNNNNNNNNNNNNNNNNNNNNNNNNNNNNNNNCGGACGUCAGGGACAACCGACACAUGGAAAAAAUAAAAUGUAAUAAUCUUUUUUUUAUUAUUUUCUCUUUCUUCUCUAACGUUUCUCUCUCUCUCUUUCUUUCUCCCCCCUCCCUUUUUAUUUUCUCUCUCUAUUUUCUUCUUCUUCUGUUACAAAAAUAACAAAACUAAAAUGCAUUAAUCAUAACAAUCAGCACAUACCCAUUACAGAAACAACUCAGCAACAGCUCAUAGAAGUCGAGAAAAUCCCAAAAAAUUGGAUUUUUAAGGAAAAACAAAACGUGAUUCACAAUCAAAUGAAACCACAAGAUAAUCUUUUGCAAACAUUAUAGUUAAAGAAUUUAUACACACUAAUAAUCACAUAAUCCUCAUAAAGCAAAAUUGCUAUUACAUUAAACUAGUUGCAUUUACAGAUUCCAAAAGCAAGCAAUAGAUUACCCAGAAAAAGAAGGAAGAAGUGGAAUACAACAUGGUUGUUGAAAAAACAAGAAAUUUCUCGCAGAGAAAGGGAGAAGGAAAAAGGGCAUUGAUUAUUCACGUAACAAAAAAAGAAAUAGAAUUCAAUUGCGUAUUCCCCAAGAUUCCUUUUCCGUUUCCUACAUUUUUCGCAUCAACCAAAUCGACAGUAAAGAAGCAACUAAAUAAACAAAUAAAAGAAAAUUAAUCCCUUUUGAUUACCUGAUUAGACAAUGCAGAUGUGGAAGCAAUCUUUCAUGACUAUUCAGAAGAGCCGAAAGAUGGAAUUUCAGCCCCAAUACCCACUCGAAGAAAGUGAAAGUAAUUUUGGUUUAAGCCUAACUUUUUUUCCUCUCCGUUUUUUUCUGGGUUUUUUCCAGAUCCGAUCAAAAAAAGAUGGAGUUUUGAUAUUUGAGUUAUAAUUCCUUUUGAUUGAUUUGUCUGUAGGGAAUUCGUCGAUUAAUGGGUGGAAAAAGAGGGAACAGAGGAAGAAGAAAGGAGAAAGAGAAAAAAGGUAGAAGAAAUAGAGAGAGAAAAGUUGGAGAAGAAAGAAAAAAUAAUAAAAAAAGAUUAUUAAAUUUUAUUUUUGCCACGUGUCAGUCGCCACUAAUGCUCAUUUGUCCAGCUAAAAUUUUUUUAACGGGAGGGGCAUUGUUGAGCUAUGUUUUACAACGUUAAGUGUACUUUUGGGAAAAAAAAGUUUAGGGUGUAAAUGGGACAUCGGGGUAAACAUCAAGGGUAUUUUUGGACCUUUUCCUUUAAUCUUAGUGUUAAUAAUUUUCUUGCUAUACCAGAAGAGCGUAAUAAGUCCAAGGAGUUAAUUAGUCCUAACUUGGUAUCUAACCCAAUUCGAUAGCCUCAUUGAUGGAACUGUUUAGUAGUUUGUUAGCUUGCAAGCCUUAAAAUUUCUUAAGUGCUAUAAGUUAUUUCAUUGAGCCUAAAACAAAACCAUUAUCAAUCCUUUUUCUUUGAGCAGUCCGGUAAUCCACAUGGGAAGAAUGAAGAAUUAAGUCUUGGUAAAUAACCAAGUUAACAAUUAGUUCAUUUAGCAAAUUGGUUAUCAAUUAAGUUGGGAAGCUAGCAAGGAUAGCUGGCAGUAGAGUGGCUGGGAUAAGGCUAAAAAUUAGGGGCCAAGUAGACUGUAGAGUAGUAGGAGACUGCUAAGCCUUGUAGGGGUUGUGUAGUGGUAAUGAUGAAGGCUAAUGUAGGGGACGGAUAGGAGCUAAAGAGAGCAGCCAGGUAGAGAUAAUGAUGGAGAGCAGCAAUAUGCCAAGUAGGUUGAUUGAGAGAGAGAGAAAGCUCAGCCAUAUAUGACCAUACAAUGCACCUGAAAUCAGAUAACUUCUUUACUUAUCCAAGUUCCAAAAGCAAUAUCAAUACCAGUCCAUUAGAUUGAGAGAGUAGCAAAGCUACGACUGGAAGGGAAGGAAGGAUUGAGCAUCAAAGCUACUUUAAUAUCUAGAAGUUAGCAAGUUAAGCAAUCUUAGAGUCUUUCCAUUCCUUUUCCAUUUCAUAUUUGAUAGUAGAAUGGGUUUUUAGUGGUUAUAGUAUUAAAUAAGACUAUGGUGGUUGUUAUGAUAAUAUUAGAGCUUUGUGUGGUUGUUGAGGCAUUAUACGGAGACCCUUAAUAAAUCAAAAGCCAAAAGACUGGGGAAAAUAGAAAGGAAAUUUGUGGAUACAUGUAAAUAAAAUCAUGUUCACCAACUGUUUGAUUAAAUGUCGAAGUAGGGGUUGUUAUAGUUUAAAAAUAUGCUAGCUAUGAAUUAGAGUCCAAAUCAUGUUUACACGCUCAUAUAUUGAUAUGAAUGCCUCAAACAUCAUAUGCUUCUUUAUUAUUCCAUUCUUUAUUAUUCUGUCGGAAUCUCCCGUCUGUGCGUUUACGCCGGACCUGGUUCCAUUAUUUGUUAUUAUAUUGGAAUAACCUGUUUAUGCGAAGUACUGCAUACAUGGUGAAAUUCUUCUGUUAUUCCAUUCUUUAUUAUUCUGUUGAAACAUCCUGUCUAUGCUUUACGCAUGACCUGGUUCCAUUAUUUAUUAUUCUGUUGGAAUAACCUGUCUGUGCGGUCUAUCGCAUGCCUGGUGAAUUCUUCUGUUAUUUCAUUAUUUAUUAUUCUGUUGGAAUAUCCUGUCUGUGCGUUUACGCAUGACCUGGUUCCAUUCUUUAUUAUUCUGUUGAAAUAACUUGUCUAUGUGGAUUACCGCAUGCAUUAUAAAUGAUCCUUCGUAUUCAUACGAAUAGUAUUUUCAUUAAAAAGGGGUUUCUGUCAGGGGCAGUUUCGUAAUUUUUCUGACCCUCAAAAAUUCUGGAAAAAUUUGAAAUGAUAAUUUGAUGAGUUUUCUAGAUUGUGUCCAAAAAUGACGAUUUUUGGGAUGUAUAGAUUAAGAGUUAUGGAUUUUAUGGGAAAAGACUAUUUUAAAAGUAAACCCUUAUAAAGCCUUGUGGUUAACUUCAAAAUUGGUAAAAUUUUUAUUGGGAGUACAUGUAUAUAACAGAAGUAUAACCCUGUAAAUUUCGGAAUUUUUAGACAAACGUACAAUUUAUGAUAAAUGUCUAAAUAUUCGGCAGUUUUAGCCAUAUGAAAAAUAGUAAAUGAAUUUUAAAAAUUCUGAGAAAAAUAUAUGUUCAAUAUGGGACUAUAUUCUGCUAAAUCCCAGAAAAGAAAUAUUUUUGGGACUGAUUUGGUAUUUUUCAUGAAAAUGAACUAGUUAUGAGUAAAUGAAUUAAAUAUGUUAUGUGAAGUAAUAAAAUUGGAAAAUAGGAUUUUAUGGCUUGAGAAUCCUAUAUAGGGUAUAUGCAGAUUUUUGAUGAGGGAUUUGAUCAUUGAUGAUGAAAUCUUAUGAGUAUGGCAUUUUUGAAUGAUUAAAUGCAUUAUUUGAUAAAGUGUAAACAAUUGAAAUAAAUUGUUUAUAAGUUUAAGAAAUGAUUAAAAUAUUGUUAUAAUAUUAAUGAUAUUAGAUUAUGAGAUUAUUAAGUGAUUGAUAACAUUUGGUUAUUAUUGAACGCUGGAUAAAUUGUAUUAUAAAUGUUUAAUAUUUAUCAUUUAUCUCAUUUGAUUAAUUCUUAUAUCAUUGUCAUCAUCCUCAUGCUUAUAUUAUAUUGAAAGUUAUCUUUGGUCGUAGUGCAUAGAUGGACUUGGUAUGAUUAUGACCAGGGAUUAUUCGGUAUAAUCAUGACCGUAAUGUUACAAAUGAUGUGGAAAAAGUCCUCAUUGGCCCGUAGUGCAUUGAUGAACAGUUUUUGGUAUGAUUAUGGUUAUGGAUUCUCUUCGGCCAAGGGUGCAAAGAUGAAUUGUUUUAUGGCAUGAUCUUGACCGUUGAUGAAAAUACGAUUAUCUUUUGCCGUAGUGCAUGGAUAAUUCGUGGUCGUGAUAUUAACGAAUAUCCUUAGCCGUAGUGCAUGGAUAAUUCAGUAAUAUGGAUUGAUUAUCGAGCUGAGUCUCAGCGAUGAAAUAUAAAUUCAUAGAUGUGAUAUUAACGAAUAUCCUUGGCCGUAGUGUAGGGGUGAUUCGAUGAUGGGGAUUAUUUAUUAAGCUGAGUCUCAGCGAUAAAAUAUUUAUUAUACACUUUUAAUUCGUAGAAGAUAGUAGAUAUCAUGCUCUACUUGACUCUUCUAAAAUACAGUUGUAUGUCUUUGGCAUGUAGUGCAAAAAUGAAUUGUUAAUUAAAAUCUUUGGCCGUAGUGCAAAGAUGAAUUUAUUAGUAUGAUUAUGAGCAGGAAUUCUGAUUUGGUAUAACCAUGAUUUUUGAUGUUUCAGGUGAAGAUAGGUGAUGAAAAUUAUCUUCGUCCUGGUUGCGAAGAGGAAUUUAGAACCACAAUUAUGAUUAUGAGUUAUUCAUAUGAUUGUGGACAGGAACUGUUGAUUUAUUUUACAUGGAUAAAACAUUAUUGGUGGACUUUUAACAUAGAGAAGAUAAUAGACCUUAUGGUCUAUUUGACUCUUCUAAUGGAUUGCUCGUUCCGCUGCAACUAUGGUUGAAAAGUUUUAUCAUCUACCAUAUGUUCUAAAUCUCUGAUUUAUUAUUGAUGAAAGCUAUUGAUAAUUUAAUUAUCUUUAGUCAUGAUAUUCUUUACUGGGCUAGUUGUGCUCACCCUUUCUGCUUCACAAUUCCUUUCAGGUAAUAAGAGUGUUGCCGUAAGAGUGUUGCCGGGUCGAGCGGGGAUAACAGGGGAAUAGAACAGUGGUCUCUAGCUGUGGAGGUUCUCCCUAAACAGUAUAGAAAAGUGUGUUGUAUUCUAUACAUCAUUUAGUAGUUAUAUUUGGUGAAUCAAAUAGGGUGAGGCGAACCCAACUUUGGAAGGGUGUUUUGCCACUAUCAUACAAGAUGUCUAAUGACAUACAACCUCGUGUUAUCAUAAGACAGGGUUGUGCACAUCCACUUGCUGAGUAUAUCUACGAGCACUACCUAUAUGAUCUUGGAGUUUAUUUGAAAUAUAAUUUUCACUUGGAGACAGUGGAGAUAGUUAUAUGUCAAGAGAAGACUCACCAUUGGAAAGAAGAUGAUAGUAAUCUUCUCGUUUUUCUUUGGGGUCUAUUGGGUCAACCAAGGAUAAUUCUGUGGACAUAUGAUAUCUAUCAUAACCUAGACGCAUGGCCUCCCAUGUACGAAGGUUUCCUUGAGCACUUCCCAAAGAUUUUAAUUUCUAAAACAGUUUUUGACUAUACUUUUAUGUAAAGUACCAUUGUAAGGUUGUGGUCGAGGCACCAUGAGAGUUACAUACAUUUGUAUUAAAACUCACAGUUAACUGUGGUCGUAUUCUAUACGACAGUUCAACAGUUGUAUAAAUGAAGUUGUAUAAAUGAAGUUGUAUUUAAAUUUUGUACCAUGUAUCUGGCGACUCAGAAUGGGUGAUGUAUACCUAAUUUUGGGGGCGUCAUAACCUAUAUACUAUGAUAAUUUUAUUUUAAAUAGUAGAGUACCAUACUCCACGAUCGUAGAGUGCAACUCCACGAUCAUAGAUAUCAACUUAAGAGUCAUCUGCGGACCCCCACUUUGAGUCCCAAAUUGGAAUACUGUAAAUUGAUGUUCCCAGACCAAUGAAAGAAGAAUUAAAAGCCUAUUAGGGACUAUUUUGAACAAAAGAUAAAAUCUCCGCAUUUAGAUAUAUUAAACCAUGAACAUAUAGUAUACAGAAAGUACUUAUUAUGAUAAAACUUAUACUUGAAAGCUUGAAGGCUGUUAUGGUAGUUUAGUACUAACUCAUGUUAAUAAUGCCUAAAAAUGAGUUGUUUUGGUAUUGGUACAUGAGAAAAGUUUCAAGCUUGUUAAAGUUUGUGAUGAUGAGUUUUAAGGAUCAUUUAAAGCUUAUAUGAAUGCUUAGAUAACCCUUGAAUCAUAGCUUGGAGACUGUUUGUGAGUAAUAGCUAAAAAUGUGCUUAAACUCUAGAUUAGAGGAAUGUUUUUGGUCAAGGUCAGUACCUGAACUUUUGAGUCAGUAAGGAGACUAUAAUAUGUCCAUAAUAAAAAUUUAAAAGUUGUUCCUUCACUUAGUUGAGGUCCAUAUUGAGUACUACUCAGUUUUUAUGUUUAAGGGCCAUGAAAAGUAAGCUUUAAAGUGUCAUCUAACACUUAAAAGAAGAGAGGCCAAACCUGGACCUUGUAGGUAAGUUUCAAUAGCUAUAAUAUGGCAUAAGUAAGCUACAUAAGUUAAAGAAACCAAGUCUAAACCGUUUUGAAUAUUAGACUUGUUAAAAAUCAUGUUUUAUAGGCCAAAAGUGGUCUGUUUUGGGUAAAUUUUAGUACCUAAAUUUGUAAGACUAUAAUGAACUCAUAUAAAGUUGCUAAUGCAUGCUGGUGAUGAUUUUUGAUCAUUUCCAUGACCAAAGUUAGUAAGAAAACCAAGUUAGGAUCUAUUUUUCAAGCUUAAAAUGAGUUUUGAUAGGUCAAAAUUGGCAAGAUGACUAAACAAAGUGAAAUGAUGAUAAAAGUAACCAUAGGCAACUAAAAUACAUAUGUCUAGACUAUUAAAGUAGCCAAAAAUGAAAGAAAUUUAAGAAGUGUCGAAAUUAGUUUUGGGAAAAAAGUGUUAAACUGUCCAGUUUGAGCCUCAGUUAAAGUAGGACUAACUGAUAUGAAUGAGGACCAUAAACCUUAUUAAAAUAUCUUGGUAUGUGGUCUAAAAGUAGGGCUAGAUGAUAGAGAUAAAAUCUUAACCAAGAAAUUCCAACAAAUCAUCAAAGUAGACAAUAAACUCAAUUCUGCAACAAUUGGGUAGUAAAGUGACUCGGUAGAUGGUAGAGUGAAAAACUCAGCAGAUGGUAGAGUGGAAAACUCAGCAGAUGGUAGAGUGACUCAGCAAAUGGUAGAGUGGCUCUGCAGAUAGUAGAGUGGUUCAGUAGAUAGUAGAGUGGCUCUACAGAUAGUAGAGUGGCUCAGAAGAUGGUAGAGUGGAAAACUCAGCAAAUGGUAGAGUGGAAAACUCAACAGAUAGUAGAGUGGAAAACUCAGCAAAUAUUAGAGUGAGAACUCUGAAAAUUGUAGAGUGGUCUCUAAAAAUCGUAAAGUGAACUCUGAAAAUAGUAAAAUGACUCUCAAAAUCGUAGAGAGAACUCUAAAAUUCGUAGAGUGAACUCUGAAAAUCGUAGAAUGACUCUCAAAAUCGUAGAGUGAAAAUUGUAGAGUGCAUAUAAUAGAGUAAAAAUGGGUAAACACCCUAGUUUGUGCCCAAUUUUGGUUAACUUCUAUAACUAAAUUUAAGAAACCAAACUCAAGGCAAAAUACUAUGAUAUAUGAUCUAAAUGCUUACACAAAUAAAAGAUCAAAUAUGUUAACCAUAAAGUCCAAAAACAUCAUCAAAGUGGCCUAAAAAUUCACUUUUGCUGCAGUUGAUAGUAGAGUGGAAAUGUAAAACACCCAUUUUGAGGCACUACCUUAAGAAGCCUUAAGAGGUUGUUUCAGUUGACUAACUAUGGAAUAAAAUACUAUAAUGUAUGGCUUAAAAGCUUGUUCAAACUUAGAAGGCAAAAGCUCAUUACAAAGAUUCAUAAAAAUCCCCAAAGUACCCUAGAAAAUCAUAUUUUCUAUUUUUGAAUAAUGAUGGAAUAAUGGGAUUUGAUUCCUGGAAAUGUCACAGCAUAACGUAAGAUCAUAUUUGAAGUGUAUAAUGAUCAAUGAUUUUUAUCAUGUUAUGAUUGGACCAAAAUGAGUAUAUUUGAGAAUGUAUAAGAACUAAGUAUGUAAUGUAUACUAUGUGUGUAUGAUCACAAAGUGAUGAACAAAGGCUAUAUGUCUAAUCUAAGUCUAAGGAACUUAGAUGAGUAAGGUUUAACCAAGUAAGGUAUGUUGUAAUGGUUUGAUACACACACAGUAAAUUACAAGUGCGAUAAACUAGCACAUGUGGUGAUGAAAGGAAAAUAAAACCGAGUUAUAUAAAUAACAAAGUUUAAUAUAAAAAAGGUAUAAGGACAAUAUAAGUAAAAGUAGGUUAUUAAAGUAAUGUUAACCAUGAGAUCAAGUAUUGACGAUGUUUAUUAUCAAUCUCACAUACCUUGUAGGUCAUGCAAAGGAACACGACAGGUUAACGGUAAAACACCUGUACAGACAAGUUUUUCAGAACUUGUUUUUAUAUGUGAACUUGUUAAUUGUUAUGUGCACAUACUUCCUGUAUUAUAUGUACUUCUUGUGAAUAAUUUGAGAUGUACGCUAUGUGUUAUACUAUGAUAUAAAUCUAUUGAAUCAAGUUAAUGAUUGAUGUGGAUUGAGUUAUGAAAACUCACUAUAUUCGUGAUAUGAGAUAUAUGAUAAGCAUGAGGCACGUAUAACUGUUGAGUAUGAAAAUUAUGAUGCCUGAAUAAAUGCAAAGUAUGAGAAACACGAAUUAUGUAUAAACUGCGGAGCAUUAACAAUUUAAAGUGUGUUUAAAAUGUGAACUUUGUAUUAUGUGAUAAUUGUUAAACUUAUUGGGCAACGUAGUUGCUCACCCUUGCUAUAAAUAAUUGUUUACAGCUAAACCAGAACGGAUCGAAGGAUUUAUGAUAGACACGUGAAAAAAGGAAGAAAUAUUGAUUGAAGUUAUUUGUUUAGUUCUAGCUAUGCUAGAGAACAUUCAUAUGACAUAUUGUAAUUGUAUAAUCAAAGAAGAUUGUAUAGAAGAAUAGUUAAGUCUAGUUGUGAGUUCAUGGAUACUUAAAAUCCAAUAUAUUUAAGUGAAACAUAUUAUUUAUAACUUGAACUGUAUAAUAUAAAUCAAUAUAAUUUAAAAGUGUA
rnacentral:lncRNA from 1 species